rnacentral:rRNA from 1 species
AUUGAACGCUGGCGGCAUGCUUUACACAUGCAAGUCGAACGGCAGCACGGGGGCAACCCUGGUGGCGAGUGGCGAACGGGUGAGUAACACAUCGGAACGUGUCCAGUUGUGGGGGAUAACCCAUCGAAAGGUGGGCUAAUACCGCAUGAGCUGGCAACAGGAAAGCGGGGGACCCGCAAGGGGCCUUGUGCGAUUGGGAGCGGCCGAUGUCCGAUUAGCUAGUUGGUGGGGAAAGGCCUACCAAGGCUUCGAUCGGUAGCUGGUCUGAGAGGAUGAUCAGCCACACUGGGACUGAGACACGGCCCAGACUCCGUACGGGAGGCAGCAGUGGGGAAUUUGGACAAUGGGCGCAAGCCUGAUCCAGCCAUGCCGCGUG